rnacentral:rRNA from 1 species
GGUCCUUGACAUACUAAGAACUUUCCAGAGAUGGAUUGGUGCCUUCGGGAACUUAGAUACAGGUGCUGCAUGGCUGUCGUCAGCUCGUGUCGUGAGAUGUUGGGUUAAGUCCCGCAACGAGCGCAACCCUUUUCUUAUUUGCCAGCGGGUCAUGCCGGGAACUUUAAGGAUACUGCCAGUGACAAACUGGAGGAAGGCGGGGACGACGUCAAGUCAUCAUGGCCCUUACGGCCAGGGCUACACACGUGCUACAAUGGUCGGUACAAAGGGUUGCUACCUCGCGAGAGGAUGCUAAUCUCAAAAAGCCGAUCGUAGUCCGGAUCGCAGUCUGCAACUCGACUGCGUGAAGUCGGAAUCGCUAGUAAUCGCGGAUCAGAAUGCCGCGGUGAAUACGUUCCCGGGCCUUGUACACACCGCCCGUCACACCAUGGGAGUUUGUUGCACCAGAAGUAGGUAGUCUAACCGCAAGGAGGACGCUUACCACGGUGUGGCCGAUGACUGGGGUGAAGUCGUAACAAGGUAAGCGUAGAUGA